GACGAACGCUGGCGGCGUGCUUAACACAUGCAAGUGGUGCGACGAACCAGGCUUCGGCCUGGGGCGAAGCCGCGAACGGGUGAGUAACACGUGGGCAAUCUGCCCCUUUGAUCGGGACAACCCGGGGAAACCCGGGCUAAUACCGAAUGAGGUGGCGACUCAUGAGAGUCGUCACGAAAGGAAGCUUCGGCCUCCGCGAAGGGAUGAGCCCGCGGCCCAUUAGCUUGUUGGUGGGGUAAUGGCCUACCAAGGCAACGAUGGGUAGCUGGUCUGAGAGGACGAUCAGCCACACUGGGACUGAGACACGGCCCAGACUCCUACGGGAGGCUGCAGUGGGGAAUUUUGCACAAUGGGCGCAAGCCUGAUGCAGCGACGCCGCGUGAGGGAUGACGGCCUUCGGGUUGUAAACCUCUUUCAGCACCGACGAAGCGCAAGUGACGGUAGGUGCAGAAGAAGGACCGGCCAACUACGUGCCAGCCGCCGCGGUAA
rnacentral:rRNA from 1 species